rnacentral:rRNA from 1 species
GGGACACGUGGUAUCCUGUCUGAAUAUGGGGGGACCAUCCUCCAAGGCUAAAUACUCCUGACUGACCGAUAGUGAACCAGUACCGUGAGGGAAAGGCGAAAAGAACCCCGGCGAGGGGAGUGAAAAAGAACCUGAAACCGUGUACGUACAAGCAGUGGGAGCCUCUUAAUGGGGUGACUGCGUACCUUUUGUAUAAUGGGUCAGCGACUUAUAUUCUGUAGCAAGGUUAACCGAAUAGGGGAGCCGAAGGGAAACCGAGUCUUAACUGGGCGUUAAGUUGCAGGGUAUAGACCCGAAACCCGGUGAUCUAGCCAUGGGCAGGUUGAAGGUUGGGUAACACUAACUGGAGGACCGAACCGACUAAUGUUGAAAAAUUAGCGGAUGACUUGUGGCUGGGGGUGAAAGGCCAAUCAAACCGGGAGAUAGCUGGUUCUCCCCGAAAGCUAUUUAGGUAGCGCCUCGUGAAUUCAUCUCCGGGGGUAGAGCACUGUUUCGGCAAGGGGGUCAUCCCGACUUACCAACCCGAUGCAAACUGCGAAUACCGGAGAAUGUUAUCACGGGAGACACACGGCGGGUGCUAACGUCCGUCGUGAAGAGGGAAACAACCCAGACCGCCAGCUAAGGUCCCAAAGUCAUGGUUAAGUGGGAAACGAUGUGGGAAGGCCCAGACAGCCAGGAUGUUGGCUUAGAAGCAGCCAUCAUUUAAAGAAAGCGUAAUAGCUCACUGGUCGAGUCGGCCUGCGCGGAAGAUGUAACGGGGCUAAACCAUGCAC